CCAACUGUGCUACCGUUCCACUCCAUUUUUCUUCUCGAACAAAAAGUUCCUGCUCUUCCGUGGAUGGGAAAGACAUUGCAAGGUCUUAUCUCAGACCAAUGGGCACACCACUGCAGACAUCAUGGCACUCGGCUACCCCGCAGACUCCCUCUCUGUGAUAACCCUUUGUGCAAAUCAGUCUGAGCGCAAGACCUGAAUUGGGGCUCCUCUACGGUUCCGAAAUGGGCUCUGUCUCCACCGUGCAUGAAUUUUAUCGUUCCUUAAUAUAAUCAUCAUCUUUCCUCAGCCAAACACUGUGGACCUAUUCAAUAGCGACGGAUCCUGAAUCAAUGCUUUAUUUCGGAAACAGGUUCAGAAUCCAGAACUGCCAUCAGUGCAGUAAGGACAGAGCUUAAAGAUAUCCAACUUUGCAGGGGCCGCUUUCAUUAUUCCUUGUUUGACAAACAGUUACUGUCGGGAGUGGCAAGGUGGUUCUCCUCCAAAGACAAAGAGAGCCAUUGAGGAGUGAGCACACGGGAAGUCGUAUAUUUAACAAUACAUUCUCUCCGUGUCCCCGACUUGUCACCACCACCGCCUUGCCAUAAAAGGACUUGCCUAAUCUGACCUUGCCUCAAUGGCCCUGAAGUUUUCUAGACUGAGCAACGCGUUGUGCCUGCUAACGAAUUUAUUUUACACGAGUUCGCAUCGGUGGCGUCAUCCCUGAGCAGAUGAGUGACGCCUCAAGAUUUACAGAGCCCUGAUUGCGUCUCAGUGAUAUUCAUACUCACAUUUAUCCUCCUAAAAUUACAGUUAAGAUCUGUAGUAAAUAAAGUACGGUGGGAGACUUUUUCCCAAGGGGACAGGAGAUCCUCAGAAACAGAACCAGAGCUAGUGUAAAAGUCAAGCUAUGCCCAGGCUGGUGAACCACACUUCAGACUAGCUGCUGGGAAACCAACCUUGAACCUGCUAAAACCCACUCUUAAUGCCUCAUCUUGAACACCACGCCCCACCUCCGCCCUUUGCAUAUAUCCCAAUAGUGACCUGUUAACUUUAUUUGA